AAUAUUGCACAAUGGAGGAAACUCUGAUGCAGCUACGCCGCGUGAACGAUGAAGGCUUUCGGGUCGUAAAGUUCUGUCCUUGGGGACGAUAAUGACGGUACUCAAGGAGGAAGCCCCGGCUGACUACGUGCACGCAGCCGCGGUAAUACGUAGGGGGCAAGCGUUGUCCGGAUUUAUUGGGCGUAAAGGGUUCGCAGGUGGUCCUUUAAGUCAGAUGUGAAAGAUCACAGCUUAACUGUGGUAAGCAUUUGAAACUGGAGGACUUGAGUUAAGGAGAGGAAAGUGGAAUUCCUAGUGUAGCGGUGAAAUGCGUAGAUAUUAGGAGGAAUACCAGUGGCGAAGGCGACUUUCUGGACUUAUACUGACACUGAGGAACGAAAGCGUGGGGAGCAAAC
rnacentral:rRNA from 1 species